ncrna:unclassified sequences DTF3800-IX RNA
GGCCCAACCCUGACUAGUCGCCUUUAUGGUGUGCGUCUCCCUUUGGGGGAGUAGGGGUUGGGUUUCUU